CAACAGUGUAUGCUAAAGUUGUUGCGGUUGAAAAGCUCGUAGUUGGAUUUUGGGCGGGCGCAACCGGUCCGUCGCAGGGCGUGUCACUGGUUGCGUUCGCCUCACCUUCGGUUCUCCGUCGGUGCUCUUGACUGAGUGUCGGCGGUGGCCGAUAAGUUUACUUUGAAAAAUUAGAGUGUUUCAAGCAGGCGAUUUGCUGGAAUACAUUAGCAUGGAAUAAUAGAAGAUGACCACCACGCAUUUUUUUGGUAUAUUGCUGGAGGUAAUGAUUAACAGGGACAGUUGGGGGGCAUUAGUAUUUAAUUGUCAGAGGUGAAAUUCAUUGAUUAAUUAAAGACUAACUUAUGCGAAAGCAUUUGCCAAGGAUGUUUUCAUUAAUCAAGAACGAAAGUUAGGGGAUCAAAGACGAUCAGAU
rnacentral:rRNA from 1 species